UCCACAUUGCAGGCUCAGGCAGUGACGGCUGCUGUGGUGGCUGCAACAGCCCCAGCAGCAGCUUAAACCCUGGAAUCAACAAGACUGACCGGCAGUGGGGGAAUCGACACCGCUGUGAGUGAGGGCUCCUUGGGCAUCCAGGGAACAACUGAGAGGAAAGGAAUGAGCAGGAUUAAGACUGAACACGAUCUUGAGAGCAGUGGGAAGAAGAAGAUUCUGGAUUGCCGCCUGGUCAGCCUUGGUUCUGCCACUGAGGACGGAUUCCGUGACACCUCAGCUCUUCAUGCUCCCCAUAAUGAGUUCCCACUUCAGAGCAUUGCUAGGAUGAAUAAAACAACCCAAGCUAAGUACUUAGUUCGGUGAAAGCACUCGGUAAAUACUUGCUCAGAAGGAAAAAGACACACAAAUUAGAACCCCAACCAAAAACACACAAGAGCAUGUACAGCAGGCAACUUUAUCUUGCAGGUUUUAAUGUGGAGAAACGAAGUAUGGGCUGUCACAACUGAAGAUACCCGAAUGAGCUGUGACACUAUGUACAGAGUUAAACUGAGAAGAGAUUAAAACAAAUCAAACAAAACAACAAUCAAAGAAUAAAAAAAAAAGAACAUGCUGUUACUAUUUUCAAAAUGAACCAGCACUUUGGCGAUUGUCUGUGAAGCUCCACAGCAGGGAUUUGGUGACCACACUUAACCAUUUUUAAGUUUUAUUUUCUCUGAGUUUUGUUGUCAGGAUGUGGGUGAGUUUCAUGUCUGAGUAUAUUUUUGUGACUAGUAUCAAAAAACUUUACUUCUCAACAUUUAAAUUAAAACAACCUUUGUUUCCAGGAAAUUAGUAACAAGACACUAACUUUGAAAACUUGCCCUAGCCUAGUUGAUAAACUGCUUACCAGAAACAGAAGACGAUCAAAAGGAAGGAAUAUGUGUCAGUUGCUCUAAAACAGUGCUUCUCAGCCCUCUGAAAGAUUGAUUGACCCCUUCACAGGGAUAUCCUGAGAUCAUCAUAAAACACAUUUACAAGUCCUAAUAGCAGAACUACAGUUAUGAAGUAGCAACAGUAAUAAUUUGAAGGCUGGGCAUACCACAACGAUUUAACACUGAAAAAUUCACAAGUUUAUGAUCUCCAUUUGUAAGACAUCAAGAGAAGGAUCUCGUGAUUGCUCCUGAUUUUCAUGGAAUAAAUAAAGCAAUGUGCAUUAAGGUC